UGCAUGGCUUUUCAAAUUUGGUCGCGACAAGAUUAAUUUGGCCGUAGCAUGUAUUUAUAAUACAUGUCUCCUAACUAGAGUCUAAUUCUAAUUCAAUUAGAAAUUAGAUUCUGACUCAUAAUCCAUAUAUGCCAAAUUAAAUCUAAAUUAUAUUCAAUCCCAAAUAAAUUAGGAUUUAACUCCAAUUUAGAUAACUACAAAUCUAAACCAAAUAAAACACUUUGAUGUUUAACUAAGGGCUCCCACCUGUCAGGUGCAUUACAGACGUAGUGAGAAAGUAUUCUGUUGUUUGUGAAAGUGAUAUUAUUAUGCUCAUUAAUUCUAACGAAUGAUCUUGUGAUUUCUAAUAAAGCAAUCUAUAGUCUAUAAUAACUAAAAUUUAAUCUUCAAUUCCUUAUACAUAUAACAUACUCAGAUUGAUUUGGGGUCGUGGGACCCACGCAAAUCCUUUUCAUCUAUUAAAAGUUACUGUUUGAACCCGGUUUGUAAUCUUAUAUAUACACUGAAUUAUUUUUUUAAUAAUUAUUAUUAUACAUUUAAAAACUAAUUUAAUAAAUACAAUUUAAAUCAUAUAAAAAAUCUAUAUAUGAAAUAGGGGCAAUUGCUUACGUACCCCUGAAAAGUUUCCGACUUUUCGUUUUACCCCUCUUAGAAUGCUAAUAUUGAAAAUACCUUCCAACCUAUUUCUAAUAUACCCCUAGAGUUAAAAUCUGUUAAUUAACUCUGUUAUAUCUGUAAAAUUACUAUUUUGCCCUUUCAAAUAUACCCUUCCACCAUAACUGACUUUCUUAUUUGCCUUUAAAGUUAGGGGCAUAAAAAGUAUUUUGACUUUUGGUCUUUUCCAACAUACUCUUCUACCGUCAUCAACAUUUCUUGUUUGCCCUUAAGUUAAGGGCAAAAUUGAUAUUUUAAUUUUUUUUAACUGUGGUAAAUAUUUAACUUACGUUUAACCCAAGUUAACUUAACAGGAGAUAAUUGCGAGAGUAUGUUGCAAUAACAGUGGAACAUAUGAGAAGUAUUUUAGAAAGAAAAAAAAGUAAGGGUAAAUAAGAUAUUUUCAAACGUAUGAGGGGUAUAUAGGCAAUUAUCCCUAUGAAAUAUUUAUAGUGAUGUUUAAGAAUUGUUGUGUAUAAAAUAUACUUAUACACACGGUUUUUUUUUUCCUUCCCUUUUUCUCAACUUGUCCCCUGCAACUUUGAAAUUAUUUAGUGCACACGGUCUAUUAGUGCACUGCAUGCACCAAAUAAUUAAGUUUUGAUAAAUAUUGUAAAAUUAAAUCCAAUUCUACCGACGUAAUCUAAACUAUCUAUACACAUACAUUAUUUCCUAUAAGCUUUUGCCACGUGGCAGCAUCAUAGUCUCUCCUUUUCAAAAUUUCUAUUCUCCAAUUAUUGCGAUCGCUCGCCUUCCUCGUAACGUCUGCCUCUUCAGCUUUCCGUCUCAUUAAUUCCUUCCCUAUAACGUCUGUUUCCGUCUCAUUAAUUCUUCCCCGUAACGUCUGCCUUUUCGGCUUUCCGUCUGAUUAAUUUCUUCUCUGUAACGUCGCUGCUUCGACUUCUCGACUCAUUAGUUUCUAUUUUCUAA
rnacentral:lncRNA from 1 species